rnacentral:lncRNA from 1 species
GUUAAACUCCAUAAGAAAUCUUAUUAUCAUUGUUAUUAUCUUAUACAUACAGUGAUCAUCUCUAUUCCCACCCUGCAAUGAUUUGAAUAUGUUUGUCCCCUCUGAAACUCAUGCUGAAAUUUAAUCCCCAUUAUGAGAUAAUAAGAAGUGGGAUCUGAUAGGACCUUUAAGAAGUGAUCAGGAGCUGGGCAUAAUGGUACAAACUUGUAAUCCCAGCAGUUUGGAAGGCUAAGGCAAUAGGAUCUGGAGUUCAUGGCAGUCUGGGCAAUUUAAUGAGACCCUUUCUCAAAAAGUAAAAAGGAUUGGGGUAUAGCUUGGUGGCAGAGCACCCCUGAGUUUAAUCUCUAAAGUACCAAAAAAAAAAAAAAGUGAUUAGAACUCUGCCCUCAUGAGUGGACAAACCAUUUGUUUAAUUAGUAGAUCACUGUAUUAUUGGCCUAAUGGGUUUUCUCCUGAGUGGGUUUGCUCUAAGAGCCAAUUUGGCUUGGUUUCUGGCAUGCUCCCUGUUUCUCAUUUCACAUGAGAUUUCUCAUACUGCCUCAGGACUCUUAACAGUGAGCAGGCCAUCCCUAGAUACACCUUGGACAAGAAUUAUGAACCAAAAUAAAUUUUCUUUUGUACUAGGAAUUUAACACAGGGGCAUUUAACCACUUCGCCACAUCCUCACCCUUUUUAUUUAUUUAUUUAUUAAAUUUUGAGACACAGUCUCUGGCUAAGUUGCUUAGGGCCUUGCUGAGUUAGUGAGUCUGCCUUCUAACUUGAGAUCCUCUUGCCUUAGCCUCCUUAGUUGCUGGGAUUACAGGCACGUGCCACCACACCUAGCAUAAACCUCAUUUCUUUAUAACUUAUCCAGCCUAUGGUAUUGUGUUAUUAGCAACAGAAAAUGGACUAAGACAAGCCUUUUCUAAUGUUAAUUUCUGCCUGGGCCUCAGAUCAUUUUUCUUCUUGAAGAAUAUCAUUUGGUAUUUU